UCUGUGUCACAUCUGUUGUGCACACGGUGCAGAACAGAUCGGACCGUGACGGGGCAUCGUCCAUGUACAUGUAAAAUCUUUGAGUCUGUGUUUCUUUGCCUCCUAAUAAUUUUCUCUUCACAACAGGGAUACAGCUUUUAUUUGUACUAAUAUAAGAGUGUGAUGGUAAAGUGGAAAUUGCAUCCAGGACUGAAACCAUCGCUUUAUGCUGCUGGCAGAAAUUUGGCUGUUUGCAAGCACCUGCACAGACAGCAUGCUAACGUUAAGCUAGCUGAGAACCCAGAGUCACAUUCAAGCUGAGUGAAUGCUGACCGCUGCCCAGCAGGCAGACCCUGAACUUCAACAGGUUCACCUGUCAUUGGCCUCAGGUUUCACUUGACAAGGAUGGAUGAGAUGCUCCUUCACUGCACACCCAGUACAUUUAAUCUUGUCUGAAGAUGCAUAGUGUAAUCAGAGUUAUUUAUACCAGACUGAAUGUCUAGAUUCACAACCUCAAAUCCAAAAAAACAUGUGCUGCUGUGUAAAAGGUAAAUUUAAAACCCCCCAAAACAGAAUGCAGUGAUUUGCAAAUCAUGUUAACCCAUAUUUUAUUUACAACAGAACACAGAAUAUAAGGGGAGAAAAUUCACCAUUUGAAGAAAAAUGGUAGAGGUUCACAAAUCUGAAAAAAGCAUGUAAAAUAAAUCAAAUAAAAUGGCAAAGGAAAGAUACCUUAUCAUAUUCAGAACAUAAUAUGAUGAAAGGACUCAGAGAAUCUGUAAAAAUCUCUGUAUGCAAGGGAGAAGGCCGAUUCAAUAAAUACAGUAUUAGAUGCUCUCGAUCAACAGACCCUGUUAUAACUACAUUAAAAACAGACAUGGUUCUGUCAUGGAAAUCACUGUAUGUGGUUCCAAAAAUCAUAAAUGAAUAAAGUCCAUUGUGCCAUCCACAAAUGCAGGCUAAAGCUCUGUCAUGCAAAGAAGGCGACAUAUCUGAACAUCUGUGAAAAUGCACUGAGGUAACGUGGAAAAUUCCUCUGUGGUCAGUCGAGUCAAAAUUAAAAAUGUCUUUGCAAAACAUGGAUGCCACACUAAAGUGAAGAGCAGCUAUCAACUUGUUAUCAGCACUUAGUUCAAAAACCUUCAUCUUCUUAUGCAUUGGGUUGUAGAAGUGUCUGUGCAAAUGGCAGCUUGCACAUCUGGAAAGGCACCAUCACUGGUAAAAGAUAUGAAUAUGAAGACUUUAGAGUAUUGUAUGACAAUGCUAAACCACAUUCUGCAUAUAUUACAACAUCGUGGCUUCAUAGUAGAAGAGUCCAGAUGUUGAACGGGCCAACAGUCCAGACUUUGUACCAAGUGAAAACAUUUGGAGCAUCAUGAAAUAUAAAAUACAUCAAAGAGGAGAGUUAUAAUGUUACAUCGGAGAAGGAAGUAACAACAUUACUCUCCCAAAGAACCAACAACUGGUCUCCUCAGUUCUCAGACAUUUAUGGAUCUUUUCUUUUUGAAGUGGUAAACUUAGCUUCUCCUAACUCGCUAAGAUGUGUUGCUGUGAUCAAAUUCAAAAUGAGCUUCUGAGUUUCUUAACAUUGUAUAAUUUUUUCAGUUUCAGUUUGAUGUUUUCUAUGUUGUGAAUAAGGUAUAACUGUAAAUUGUUACAGCCUGCUUUUAUUUAAAUUUUACAAAUUGUCCAGAAUUUUUAAAUUAAAAAACAUGAUUCUUGUACAGAAAUGUACAAAAACAGGAAUUAAAUGCACUUAAUUUACAUUGUCUAAAAAUAAAGUUCUUCAACUUUC
ensembl:lncRNA